UACGUAGGCAGCAAGCGUUGUUCGGAGUUACUGGGCGUAAAGAGUGCGUAGGUGGUGCCCUAAGUCUGUUGUGAAAUCUCCCGGCUUAACUGGGAGGGUGCGGUGGAAACUGGGGUGCUUGAGUGUGGGAGAGGUAAGCGGAAUUCCUGGUGUAGCGGUGAAAUGCGUAGAUAUCAGGAGGAACACCGGUGGUGUAGACGGAUUACUGGACCACGACUGACACUGAGGCACGAAAGCGUGGGUAGCAAACAGG
rnacentral:rRNA from 1 species